rnacentral:rRNA from 1 species
AUUGAACGCUGGCGGAAUGCUUUACACAUGCAAGUCGAACGGCAGCACGGACUUCGGUCUGGUGGCGAGUGGCGAACGAGUGAGUAGUGUAUCGGAACGUGCCCAGUCGUGGGGGAUAACGUAGUGAAAAUUACGCUAAUACCGCAUACGAUCUAUGGAUGAAAGCGGGGGAUCGCAAGACCUCGCGCGAUUGGAGCGGCCGAUAUCAGAUUAGGUAGUUGGUGGGGUAAAGGCCCACCAAGCCAACGAUCUGUAGCUGGUCUGAGAGGACGACCAGCCACACUGGAACUGAGACACGGUCCAGACUCCUACGGGAGGCAGCAGUGGGGAAUUUUGGACAAUGGGCGAAAGCCUGAUCCAGCCAUUCCGCGUGCAGGAUGAAGGCCCUCGGGUUGUAAACUGCUUUUGUACAGAACGAAAAGGUUUCUACUAAUACUAGGAGCUCAUGACGGUACUGUAAGAAUAAGCAUCGGCUAACUACGUGCCAGCCGCCGCAGUAA